UUCCAUGCAGGUAGUCUGGGGUGAUGGAAUGUCACAGAAGAGAGAUGCCCAGCAAGGCCGGAGCAGAGGCCCACGGCACGGCCAGACACUGGGAUGAGCUGGGGAGGUGGCCUGCUCAAAACUGAGACUUGAGAAGAAUCUCUCUUGAAAGAGAGGCCCAAUCUUCCUCGGCUGUGGGGGCGCAGAGGAGGGGUGACAGCUAGCUGAAGGGAUCUGGUGGCUUCAGAGGACACGGCACGAGCAAGUGGUUGGGACUCUGGCUUCAGAGCUCAGCAGACUCGGGUUCAAGUUCCGGUAUCCAGCACGUGCUCACUGGGUCUCCUUGGGGAGUCGCUUAACUUCUUGGAGUCUGUGAAAUGAGGACGCUGAGAGUACCUUCCUCGUAGGGGUGAGAAGAAUGGGUGGAAUCAUUCAGGGAAAGGAGUGCUGGGCACACCGGCUGGCACAUAGUGUCUAUGGAGGACUCCACGUGGCAAGGAAAUGAUGCCUCUGGCCGAGGGCUAGCAAGGACCCGAGACCUGCCAAAAUCCACGACCGAGAAGUCCCCAAGGACAGGAGCAGGAGCCAGAACCAGGAGGGGAUGUGGUGUGGAGAGGGCUGCCUUCCAGGGGCUGUGGCCUUUGGUAGAAGAUGCAGAUGACCCAUGGCGGCCCAGCAAGGAGGACACUGGGGAGUAAGUAGCCUGACCACUCCUUAUUCCUGCCUGGGAGCACUUGGUGUCCCUCGUUGGCUGAGUCCACCCUGAAGGCAAG